UACGUAGGCAGCAAGCGUUGUUCGGAGUUACUGGGCGUAAAGAGUCUGUAGGCGGUGCUCUAAGUUUGGUGUGAAAUCUCCCGGCUUAACCGGGAGGGUGCGCCGAAGACUGGGGUGCUGGAGUCUGGGAGAGGAAAGCGGAAUUCCUGGUGUAGCGGUGAAAUGCAUAGAUAUGACCCGGAACACCGAUUGCGAAGGCAGCCCGCUAAGCAACUAUUGACGCUGAGGCACGAAAGCGUGGGGAUCAAACAGG
rnacentral:rRNA from 1 species